UACGUAGGGUGCGAGCGUUAAUCGGAAUUACUGGGCGUAAAGCGUGCGCAGGCGGUUUUGUAAGCCGGAUGUGAAAUCCCCGGGCUUAACCUGGGAAUGGCAUUCGGGACUGCAAGGCUGGAGUGCGGCAGAGGAGACUGGAAUUCCUGGUGUAGCAGUGAAAUGCGUAGAUAUCAGGAGGAACACCGAUAGCGAAGGCAGGUCUCUGGGCUGACACUGACGCUCAUGCACGAAAGCGUGGGGAGCAAACAGG
rnacentral:rRNA from 1 species